UAGGCGUGUGGGUGGCUUAAACCAAAAAGACACGGAAUAAGUUACGAUUUCUGAUGAAUUUACUUCUGCAGCUCGGCGGCGAAUGUCAUCUGAUUGCCUUAAAUCCUUAAUUACCAUAAACGUUUUGAAUAUAAUCAAGGUAUUAAUGAUAUAGAUACAACGUUCAAAUUGGCUAAUUCGAUGGCUUGGAGAACUUGAAUUUAUUUAACUUUUUGUUCGGUUUUUUUUUUACUUACUUUCACGUAAGUCUUAUUACUAUUUUUCCAACAUCUGGCAGUAAGAUGACCUAACAUGUUCGCCAUGUGAUACGUUUGUUUCCUUAAUAAAUAAAAAAGAAAACAAUUAUGUUAAAUUAAAACCAUGCUCGUUUAAAUAAGGAGCUGACUGCUCAUUUAACGAUGAUGAUCUUAAGCCCAAUAGAGCGGCAAAAACGGGGUCGAAUUGCAUUGUUGAUUACGUCUGAUUUAUUGGAUGGACCAAAAGCGUUUACACAUUUGUUAACUUUGAUGGGCAGCCAAACAAAUCGCUCUAUGCAAAUGAUGAGCGUCGGGCGGAAACGGAAAACGAAUUGCGGCCCGAAAUGAGAAAUGCCACAGAUGGAAUGGAUCUGGACCUGGAUGGCACCGAAUCACAUCAGACAUGGCCAGCAAGCAAGUUCGUGGCUCGUGGCUGCAUUUAAAGGUAUUUUUGUUUGCAUAAAUAAACGGACGACGGAGAACCGGCAAACGUCAAAACUUUUAAAAUUUCAAUUUCCGGUGCAACGGCGGCCCAUACGAAGAUGGUGAUGAUGACCAAAAAAAAA